AUUGAACGCUGGCGGCAGGCUUAACACAUGCAAGUCGAACGAGUGGCGGACGGGUGAGUAAUGCUUGGGAAUCUAGCUUAUGGAGGGGGAUAACUACGGGAAACUGUAGCUAAUACCGCGUACCAUAGGAUGAGCCCAAGUGGGAUUAGGUGGUUGGUGGGGUAACGGCUCACCAAGCCGACGAUCUCUAGCUGGUCUGAGAGGAUGACCGGCCACACUGGGACUGAGACACGGCCCAGACUCCUACGGGAGGCAGCAGUGGGGAAUAUUGCACAAUGGGCGCAAGCCUGACGCAGCCAGGCCGCGUGUAUGAAGAAGGCCUUCGGGUUGUAAAGUACUUUCGGUGGCGAGGCGUUACCUGCAGAAGAAGCACCGGCUAACUCCGUGCCAGCAGCCGCGGUAAUUC
rnacentral:rRNA from 1 species